CGGGGCCCAAAGAAUCCAGAGAGAGGAGGCGCGCCGGGGGGACCCCUGCAGUCGCCGGUGCUCCUCAGCUGUUUCCGAACUUCAGACCGGCGCAGGCCAGGCCCCCGAGCGAACGAGCGAGAGAGAGAGAACGAGCGAGAGAAAGCAAAAGGGCUCUUUCUGCCCAGUUCAGGAGAGACAGAACUAAACGGCGCGAGUGAGGACACUGAGGUCUGAACAGCAGCACAUGAAAAUGGGGAACUGCCAGAAAACAAGGAAUUACACUUAAAAGCCCUCAGACCGAAACAAGUUAAACACGGAGUGGUCACAAUCUGUGGAACCUGGCCAGUGAUGGGUCGCGUUUCAUCAGCCCGCCGGUUCCUUCCGGAACAUUCUGGAUGACUUCCUCUCCUCAGACAGGGAGUCGGCAGGUGGGAGGCGAGAUGGGCGGGACAGCUGGCUUCAAACAAGUGCAUCAUGGGAAAAUGCAAUGACAUAACACCCCCCCCCCGGACAAGCCCUGCCUUCGGAGAAGUGGGAUAGGGUGUGGAGGACAGAGGAGUCAGUAGACCAAUACGAGUUGGAUAGAACUGCACAGGGGAUUAUGGAUCUGAAUGCGUGCCUGUGUGCGUGUGCGUGUGCGUGUGUGUGUGUGUGUGUGUGUGUCUGUGCCUGUGCCUGUGUGUGUGUCUGUGCGUGUGUGUCCGCACGUUUAUCGUUACAUACCUAUGUGUGUUGAUGUUGGUGUGUUUGACUGUAGUUCUGUGGCAGUAUGCAAUACUAAUAUAAAUACUACAUGCUUUGCGG